AGUGAACGCUGGCGGUAGGCCUAACACAUGCAAGUCGAACGGCAGCACAGGGGAGCUUGCUCCUUGGGUGGCGAGUGGCGGACGGGUGAGGAAUACAUCGGAAUCUACUCUGUCGUGGGGGAUAACGUAGGGAAACUUACGCUAAUACCGCAUACGACCUACGGGUGAAAGCAGGGGAUCUUCGGACCUUGCGCGAUUGAAUGAGCCGAUGUCGGAUUAGCUAGUUGGCGGGGUAAAGACCUACCCAGGCGACGAUCCGUAGCUGGUCUGAGAGGAUAAGCAGCCACGCUGGAACUGCGAAACGGUCCAGACUCCUACGUGCGGCGGCAGUGGGGAAUAGUGGACAAUGGGCGCAAGGCUGAUCCAGCCAUACCGCGUGGGUGAAGAAGGCCUUCGGGUUGUAAAGCCCUUUUGUUGGGAAAGAAAUCCAUCUGGUUAAUACCCGGGUGGGAUGACGGUACCCAAAGAAUAAGCACCGGCUAACUUCGUGCCAGCAGCCGCAGUAA
rnacentral:rRNA from 1 species